rnacentral:rRNA from 1 species
ACAGAGGGUGCGAGCGUUAAUCGGAGUGACUGGGCGUAAAGGGCGCGUAGGCGGUUAGAUUAGUCUGAUGUGAAAGACCUGGGCUUAACCUGGGAUGUGCAUUGGAAACGGUCUAGCUAGAGUUUGGGAGAGGGAAGUGGAAUUUCCGGUGUAGCGGUGAAAUGCGUAGAGAUCGGAAAGAACACUCGUGGCGAAGGCGACUUUCUGGCCCAAAACUGACGCUGAGGCGCGAAAGCGUGGGGAGCAAACAGGA